GUGUCAAAUCAUUUCAACAGACAUUUUUUUAAGCUUAAGAAGCUCAGGAAAAUUUAAAUAGUUAUUUUAAGUUUGUUUUUAAUAAAAAUUAAAUCAUAGUUCAAAGAGAUAUUCAGCGUAUAAAGUGUGUUGCUGGUUGCAGUUUGGGGGUGCCGUUGUCUCCCUUCUUAUCAGAAGGGGAAAUCUCCAGGCGGCACGAAUGGAUCAACCUGUUGGUUGUUUUAAAACUGUAUAUAUAAAAAGGGUGAAAAUGGUGCGGCAAUACUGACAUUGCACAAAUUAAAGAGCGGAAGUUUACUUCAUAUCGGAGUUGUACAGUUGUGUGAACAAAAA